GGAAGGUGAAACGUCCGCGGUCGCGGCC
rnacentral:sRNA from 1 species